UACGAAGGUUGCAAGCGUUACUCGGAAUUACUAGGCGUAAAGGGCAGGUAGGUGGUUUGGUAAGUCUGUUGUGAAAGCUCCUGGCUUAACUGGGAGAGGUCAAUAGAUACUGCCGGACUUGAGUAUAGGAGAGGGUACUGGAAUUCCCGGUGUAGCGGUGAAAUGCGCAGAGAUCGGGAGGAACACCAAUGGCGAAAGCAGGUACCUGGACUAUUACUGACGCUAAGCUGCGAGAGCUAGGGGAGCAAACAGGAUUAGAUACCCGCGUAGUCC
rnacentral:rRNA from 1 species